UCUGCAAGAGCCAGCGCAAGCUUCUCAUCCCACAAAUACUCUGUCCCUUCAUCUUCUUCAGAGGCUGCCAUGACACCUGCAAUCAGAAAGACCCUCCAGGAGCAAAUCUUUCUUAGUUAUGAUUUCCAGCUAGGUGCUUGGACACACUGGAGAAAGAGUGUACUGGGAUCAGAUUGCAUCCAGCAGUGAAGGAGCGCUUCCCGGGCCAAGUCAGAGAUAGGUAACAUGGACUCCAGAUCUAGAAAGCUGUUGAAGAAAGAUUGUAACAAAGGAAGAUCAAGCUGAUGGUACUCAUCCUUCCGGAAGUGACCACUUAACCUCAGAAUCCCAGUGUGGAGCACUCCAACCAAAUGCUCUCUGUCGACCAGACCAUUUCCCUACCCAGGUCUUCUUGAGCACUUCAGGCCUACUGCUCCUGCUUGAGUUCAAUUAUGCGAUGAUUAUUGAUAACUGUUUGUUUUCUAAGAAGAGACAGAAGAUGAGAAGAGAAACAGGAAGAAACUGGGGAGUUAGGGUAGGGAAAAUCAUAAUCAGAAUAAAUUGUAUGAAAAAAC